rnacentral:misc_RNA from 1 species
UUAAGUUCAGCGGGUAUCCCUACCUGAUCCGAGGUCAAAAACUUAGUUAUGGGGGGGUUCCGGCGGACGUUUCCACUUCACCAUCACGAGAGUAAUUUACUACGCUUUGGUUGCGUGGCUCGUCGCCAUUGAAUUUCGCACAGGAAGCUUGCGCCUCCAAUGCAAGACCAACUAACAAUAAAUUGUUGAUUGAGGUUUUU